UGAGUAACGCGUAGGAACCUGUCGCACAGUGGGGGAUAACGCUGGGAAACCGGCGCUAAUACCGCAUGUGGUGAGUGAUCAAGAAAGCGAGCAAUCGCGCUGUGUGAGGGGCCUGCGUCCGAUUAGCUAGUUGGUGGGGUAAAGGCUUACCAAGGCGACGAUCGGUAGCUGGUCUGAGAGGAUGGUCAGCCACACUGGGACUGAGACACGGCCCAG
rnacentral:rRNA from 1 species